GACGAACGCUGGCGGCGUGCCUAAUACAUGCAAGUUGAGCGAUGAAGAUUGGUGCUUGCACCAAUUUGAAGAGCAGCGAACGGGUGAGUAACGCGUGGGGAAUCUGCCUUUGAGCGGGGGACAACAUUUGGAAACGAAUGCUAAUACCGCAUAACAACUUUAAACAUAAGUUUUAAGUUUGAAAGAUGCAAUUGCAUCACUCAAAGAUGAUCCCGCGUUGUAUUAGCUAGUUGGUGAGGUAAAGGCUCACCAAGGCGAUGAUACAUAGCCGACCUGAGAGGGUGAUCGGCCACAUUGGGACUGAGACACGGCCCAAACUCCUACGGGAGGCAGCAGUAGGGAAUCUUCGGCAAUGGACGAAAGUCUGACCGAGCAACGCCGCGUGAGUGAAGAAGGUUUUCGGAUCGUAAAACUCUGUUGGUAGAGAAGAACGUUGGUGAGAGUGGAAAGCUCAUCAAGUGACGGUAACUACCCAGAAAGGUACGGCUAACUACGUG
rnacentral:rRNA from 1 species